GACGAACGCUGGCGGCGUGCUUAACACAUGCAAGUCGUACGGUAAGGCCCUUUCGGGGGUACACGAGUGGCGAACGGGUGAGUAACACGUGAGUAACCUGCCCACAACUUUGGGAUAACGCUAGGAAACUGGUGCUAAUACUGGAUAUGUGCUCCUGCUGCAUGGUGGGGGUUGGAAAGCUCCGGCGGUUGUGGAUGGACUCGCGGCCUAUCAGCUUGUUGGUGGGGUAGUGGCCUACCAAGGCGGCGACGGGUAGCCGGCCUGAGAGGGUGACCGGCCACCUUGGGACUGGGGGUGGGGCCAGACUCCUACGGGAGGCAGCAGUGGGGAAUAUUGCACAAUGGGCGCAAGCCUGAUGCAGCAACGCCGCGUGCGGGAUGACGGCCUUCGGGUUGUAAACCGCUUUCAGCAGGGACGAAGCUUUUUGUGACGGUACCUGCAGAAGAAGCACCGGCUAACUACGUG
rnacentral:rRNA from 1 species